GAUGAACGCUGGCGGCGUGCCUAAUACAUGCAAGUCGAGCGAACGGACGAGAAGCUUGCUUCUCUGAUGUUAGCGGCGGACGGGUGAGUAACACGUGGAUAACCUACCUAUAAGACUGGGAUAACUUCGGGAAACCGGAGCUAAUACCGGAUAAUAUUUUGAACCGCAUGGUUCAAAAGUGAAAGACGGUCUUGCUGUCACUUAUAGAUGGAUCCGCGCUGCAUUAGCUAGUUGGUAAGGUAACGGCUUACCAAGGCAACGAUGCAUAGCCGACCUGAGAGGGUGAUCGGCCACACUGGAACUGAGACACGGACCAGACUCCUACGGGAGGCAGCAGUAGGGAAUAUUCCGCAAAGGGCGAAAGCAUGACGGAGCAAAGCCGCGUGAGUGAUGAAGGUCUUCGGAUCGUAAAACUCUGUUAUUAGGGAAGAACAUAUGUGUAAGUAACUGUGCACAUAUUGACGGUACCUAAUAAGAAAGCCACGGCUAACUACGUG
rnacentral:rRNA from 1 species